AGCAGUAGCCGCGGUAAUACGGAGGGUGCAAGCGUUAAUCGGAAUUACUGGGCGUAAAGCGCACGCAGGCGGUCUGACAAGUCAGAUGUGAAAUCCCCGGGCUUAACCUGGGAACUGCAUUUGAAACUGUCAGGCUGGAGUCUUGUAGAGGGGGGUGGAAUUCCAGGUGUAGCGGUGAAAUGCGUAGAGAUCUGGAGGAAUACCGGUGGCGAAGGCGGCCCCCUGGACAAAGACUGACGCUCAGGUGCGAAAGCGUGGGGAGCAAACAGGAUUAGAUACCCGCGUAGUCCCUGUCUCUUAUAA
rnacentral:rRNA from 1 species